rnacentral:misc_RNA from 1 species
AAGAGACUAAAAGGUGGUUAAUGAGGGACAAAAGUGUUAAUAAUUGUAAAAACUUAGGGACAAAAAUGUUCAUAAUGUUAAAAACUAAGGGAUGGUGUAAAGUUGAAAAAAAAUAGAUGAAGGGAUGAAAGUGUGUGACGGAAUCACAAUUUAGGGACUAACUAAUGUGUUUUUCAAAGUAUGUGGACUAAGUCAUUAAUUUUGAUAUAUUAUAGUGACUAAAUAGUAAUUUCCCCUUCAAUUUAUCUUGUUCCUUUAGUAGCUUCUUCACUCAUUGAGGGGGAUUAAUGAACUAGCUAGGUUAGAAGUGGAUGAUGACAGUAGAUGCUUAAGGAAAUGAAUGGGUUAAAAAUAUUAUUAGAAAUUAUAAUCAUGCUAUGUUGUCAAAGGGGAAAAAAACCAUGUAUUAUAUUUGAGACAAACAGAUCAAUCCACAUCCACAAUAAUAACAUAAGCUUCACAAAGUUUGAUUAAAGUUGCGAAAGUUAAAAACCACAUGUCAUCACUGAAUCUUUUUCUUAGUUUCUAGCAUUUUAUGUUUCCCCAAUUUUUAUUUUUCCUUUUUAAAGAAAGAAAUCAAUCAAGGCCAUUUAAAAUGAAUCCUUUACCCAGAAUACCUAAAGUUCAUUUUUUUAAAAUGAAACAACCAAAUUUGGUAAAAGACCAGAACCAAAAUAG